rnacentral:snRNA from 1 species
AGCUUUGCGCAGUGGCAGUAUCAUAGCCAAUGAGGUUUAUCCGAGGCGCGAUUAUUGCUAAUUGAAAAAAAAAAAAUUAAAGUCCGAGUCUGUAGUAUCAAACUCAGUCUAAUAGCAGCUCUUCAAUAGUUUCAUUUUGUGUGGCACUAUAAUAUU